UACGGAGGGGGCUAGCGUUGUUCGGAAUUACUGGGCGUAAAGCGCGCGUAGGCGGCUUUGUAAGUUGGAGGUGAAAGCCCGGGGCUCAACCCCGGAACUGCCUUUAAAACUGCAUCGCUUGAAUCCAGGAGAGGUGAGUGGAAUUCCGAGUGUAGAGGUGAAAUUCGUAGAUAUUCGGAAGAACACCAGUGGCGAAGGCGGCUCACUGGACUGGUAUUGACGCUGAGGUGCGAAAGCGUGGGGAGCAAACAGG
rnacentral:rRNA from 1 species